CCUACGGGAGGCUGCAGUGGGGAAUAUUGGACAAUGGGGGCAACCCUGAUCCAGCCAUGCCGCGUGUGUGAAGAAGGCCCUCGGGUUGUAAAGCACUUUCAGUGAGGAAGAACGCCUGGUGGUUAAUACCCAUCAGGAAAGACAUCACUCACAGAAGAAGCACCGGCUAACUCCGUGCCAGCAGCCGCGGUAAUACGGAGGGUGCGAGCGUUAAUCGGAAUUACUGGGCGUAAAGCGCGCGUAAGUGGCUUGAUAAGCCGGUUGUGAAAGCCCCGGGCUCAACCUGGGAACGGCAUCCGGAACUGUCAAGCUAGAGUGCAGGAGAGGAAGGUAGAAUUCCCGGUGUAGCGGUGAAAUGCGUAGAGAUCGGGAGGAAUACCAGUGGCGAAGGCGGCCUUCUGGACUGACACUGACACUGAGGUGCGAAAGCGUGGGUAGCAAACAGGAUUAGAUACCCUAGUAGUC
rnacentral:rRNA from 1 species